rnacentral:rRNA from 1 species
UACGGAGGAUGCAAGCGUUAUCCGUAAUGAUUGGGCGUAAAGCGUCCGCAGGUGGCUGUGUAAGUCUGCUGUCAAAGAGCAAAGCUCAACUUUGUAAAGGCAGUGGAAACUACACGGCUAGAGUGCGUUCGGGGCAGAGGGAAUUCCUGGUGUAGCGGUGAAAUGCGUAGAGAUCAGGAAGAACACCGGUGGCGAAGGCGCUCUGCUAGGCCGCAACUGACACUGAGGGACGAAAGCUAGGGGAGCGAAUGGG